rnacentral:rRNA from 1 species
GACGAACCGUGCGAACGUUGUUCGGAAUCACUGGGCUUAAAGGGCGCGUAGGCGGCCUUCUAAGUCGAACGUGAAAUCCCCGGGCUUAACCUGGGAAUGGCAUUUGGGACUGCAAAGCUUGAGUGCGGCAGAGGGGACUGGAAUUCCUGGUGUAGCAGUGAAAUGCGUAGAGAUCAGGAGGAAUACCGAUGGCGAAGGCAGGUCCCUGGGCUGACACGUGAGCGCUCAUGCACGAAAGCGUGGGAGC